rnacentral:rRNA from 1 species
UGGGGAAUAUUGGACAAUGGGCGCAAGCCUGAUCCAGCAAUGCCGCGUGAGUGAUGAAGGCCUUAGGGUUGUAAAGCUCUUUCGCACGCGACGAUGAUGACGGUAGCGUGAGAAGAAGCCCCGGCUAACUUCGUGCCAGCAGCCGCGGUAAUACGGAGGGGGCUAGCGUUGUUCGGAAUUACUGGGCGUAAAGGGCGCGUAGGCGGCCUGUUUAGUCAGAAGUGAAAGCCCCGGGCUCAACCUGGGAAUAGCUUUUGAUACUGGCAGGCUUGAGUUCCGGAGAGGAUGGUGGAAUUCCCAGUGUAGAGGUGAAAUUCGUAGAUAUUGGGAAGAACACCGGUGGCGAAGGCGGCCAUCUGGACGGACACUGACGCUGAGGCGCGAAAGCGUGGGGAGCAAACAGGAUUAGAUACCCUGGUAGUCCACGCCGUAAACGNUGAAUGCUNGACGUCGGGGUGCAUGCACUUCGGUGUCGCCGCUAACGCAUUAAGCAUUCCGCCUGGGGAGUACGGCCGCAAGGUUAAAACUCAAAUGAAUUGACGGGGUCAUAGCUGUUUCCU